UGUGUUCCGCUUGUCAUGUCCGACCACAACCAAAACAAUAACAGGGAUGCGUAUAUUUCUUAUCUAGCUGCUCCUGAGGAAGUUUGUGUGUGAGAGGAUUGCAGUUCCCUGGUCAGAGAUCCAGUUGCCCCGCUCUCCCAGAGGGAGAGCCAAGUCAGCAACGGCUGGUCGGCUGCUCCUGAGGAAGUUUGUGUGUGAGAGGAUUUCAGUUCCCUGGUCCGAUCCAGUUGGCCCUCUGGAUUAGCAUACUUCUCGCAUGCUAAGCGAGCGCUCUACUUUGAGCUAAUUCCCCUUGCUGCACUAUUCAAACCCCCCUCUCCCACGUCUCUUUACUGCCUCUAUGCUGCUCCUGAGGAAGUUUGUGUGUGAGAGGAUUUCAGUUCCCUGGUCCGAUCCAGUUGGCCCGCUCUCCCAAAAGGAGAAUCAAUGAAUCAAUGUUUCACAUACAGUAUAUGAAAGUCAGCAUUGGAUCAUAUCACCAAUAAGGAAUGUUCAAGCAAUCCAAUUGUACUUGAGCUGUGAAAUUAAUUCCUGUUUUAUCUGUUGGUUGUCAACACAUUAACUAAAUGGUUGUCAAGUUAACCCUUUAGUUAUUCUGUGUUUAGCCAAGUCAGCAAUGGUCAGUUUGGGAUUUUUUUCACCAGUAAAUAACGAAUCGAAAAUGAUUUGGAGAAUGCGGGCAUCGAUCCCGCUACUUCUCGCAUGCUAAGCGAGCGCUCUACCAUUUGAGCUAAUUCCCCUUCCUGCACUGUUCA